GCAGUGGUGGUUCAGUGGUAGAAUUCUUCCCUUCCAUGCGAGAGACCCGGGUUCAAUUACUGGCCGAUGCA
rfam:Loxodonta africana unplaced genomic scaffold scaffold_36, whole genome shotgun sequence.